rnacentral:lncRNA from 1 species
UACAGGAUUUAGUCACCUAUGAUGACGUGCAUGUGAACUUCACUCAGGAAGACUGGGCUUUGCUGGAUGCUUCUCAGAAGAGUCUCUACAAAGGUGUGAUGGUAGAGACCUAUAGGAAUCUCACAGCAUGAAAGAAGUUCUUCUGCAGAGCAACACUCUGAGUUUAUUCAAUGUGGUAAAGCCUUUGCAUAUCAGAGUCAUAGUCAAAGGCAUGAAAGAAUACACAAUGGAGAGAAACACUAUGACUGUAACCAAUGUGGUAAAGACUUUGGAACAAGGAGUGUCCUCUAAAGACUUAAACGAACACAUACAGGAGAGAAACCCUAUGAAUGUAACCACUGUGGUAAAGCCUUUGCAAAAAGGAGUGACCUCCAAAUUCAUAAACGAAUACAUACAGGAGAGAAACCCUAUGAAUGUAACCAAUGUUGUAAAGCCUUUGCAUAUCAGAGUCAUAGUCAAAGGCAUGAAAGAAUACACAAUGGAGAGAAACACUAUGACUGUAACCAAUGUGGUAAAGACUUUGGAACAAGGAGUGUCCUCUAAAGACUUAAACGAACACAUACAGGAGAGAAACCCUAUGAAUGUAACCACUGUGGUAAAGCCUUUGCAAAAAGGAGUGACCUCCAAAUUCAUAAACGAAUACAUACAGGAGAGAAACCCUAUGAAUGUAACCAAUGUUGUAAAGCCUUUACACGAAGCAGUCAUCUCGGAAUCCAUAAGCGAACACAUACAGGAGAGAAACCCUAUGAAUGUAAGCAAUGUGGUAAAGCCUUUGCACAUAGCUGUACUCUCCAAAUCCAUAAGCGAACACAUACAGGAGAGAAACCCUAUGAAUGUAAACAAUGUGAUAAAGCUUUUGUAAAAAGGGGAGAACUCCAAAUACACAAGCGAACACAUACAGGAGAGAAACCCUAUGAAUGUAAACAAUGUGGUAAAGCCUUUGCACAUAGCAGUACUCUCCAAAUACAUAAGCGAACACACACAGGAGAGAAACCCUGUGAAUGUAAACAAUGUGGUAAAGCCUUUGCACAUAGCAGUACUCUCCAAAUACAUAAGCGAACACAUACAGGAGAGAAACCCUAAGAAUCUAAACAAUGUGGUAAAGCUUUUAAAAGAAGUGGUGACCUUCUAAUACAUAAGCGAAGACAUACAUGAGAGAAACCCUGUGAAUGUAAGCAAUGUGGUAAAGUUUUUAUAAGAAGUGUUGACCUUCAAAUACAUAAGCGAAGACAUACAGGAGAUAAACCCUAUGAAUGUAAACAAUGUGGUAAAGCUUUGCAGAAAGCAGUACUCUCCAGAUAUAUAAGCGAACAUGUACAGGAGAGAGACCCUAUGAAUGUAACUAGUGUGGUUAAGCCUUUGCAGGAAGCAGUGGUCUCCAAUGUCAUAAAAGAACACAUACAGGCGAAACACCCCAUGAAUGAAACCAAGGUAGUAAACCCUUUGCAGGAAGCAGUGGUCUUGAAUAUCAUCGAAUACAUACAGCUGAAAAACCCUAUGUAUUUAACCAAUGUGGUAAAGCCUUUGCAGGAAGGAGUGACCUCCAAAGACAAAAGACCAUACAGAAGAGAAAGUCUAUGAAGGCAUCUAAUGUUAUAAAGUCUUUGCAGCAAGCAUUGAUCUCCACGUAUAUAAAUGAACACAUACCAGAGAGGAACCUUUUAAAUGUAACCAACAUGGUAAAGCUUUUUCAAAAACCAAUAGUCUUUACAUACAUAAAAGAAUAUAUACUUGAGAGAAAUGCUUUGACUUUAACCAAUGUGGUUAAACUUUUUCAGAAAGCAGUCAUCAACAAAAUCAUAAAACAACACGUAUAGGAGAGAGAUUUUUGAAUGUUAGCAAUGUGCUUUUACACUUUUUUCACAAAACAGUGGCCUCAAAAUAUAUAAGUACAUGUUUGUACUGGAGAGAAACCCUAUGAAUAUCGGCAAUGUCCUGAAACCCUUCUACAUCACAAUCAUCUUCAAAUCCAUAAAGAACAUGUAGUGGAGAAAAAUCCUCUGAAUAUCACUAAUUAGGUAAAGCAGUUAUAAAGAGUCAUCUCCUAACACAAAAGUAUACACACUGGAUAGAAACCCAUGAAUAUAAGCAAUGUGGUAAAUGUUUUAUAAGUCACAGUAUUCUCUAAGUAAAUAAAGGAAGACACACUUGAGAGAAACCCUAUGAAAGUUAUUAAAGGUACAAAGCCUUGUACAUUAUAAUCUUCAAAUACAUAAAAGAAGACAUAGAGGUGAGAAACCCUAUGUCUGGAAGCCAUGUGGUAUUGCCUUCACUUGUCAAUCAUAUUCAAAGACACAAAAGAAAUC